UACGUAGGGCGCAAGCGUUGUCCGGAAUCAUUGGGCGUAAAGAGCUCGUAGGCGGUCUGUCGCGUCUGCUGUGAAAACUCAGGGCUUAACCCUGAGCUUGCAGUGGGUACGGGCAGACUAGAGUCCGGAAGAGGAGAGUGGAAUUCCUGGUGUAGCGGUGAAAUGCGCAGAUAUCAGGAAGAACACCCGUGGCUAAGGCGGCUCUCUAGUACGGUACUGACGCUGAGACGCGAAAGCGUGGGGAGCGAACAGG
rnacentral:rRNA from 1 species